rnacentral:rRNA from 1 species
CCUACGGGUGGCAGCAGUCGAGAAUCAUUCACAAUGGGGGAAACCCUGAUGGUGCGACGCCGCGUGGGGGAAUGAAGGUCUUCGGAUUGUAAACCCCUGUCAUGUGGGAGCAAAUUAAAAAGAUAGUACCACAAGAGGAAGAGACGGCUAACUCUGUGCCAGCAGCCGCGGUAAGACAGGGGUCUCAAGUGUUGAUCGAAAUUACUGGGCGUAAAGCGUGCGUAGGCGGUUUAGUAAGUCGUGGGGGAAAGGGGCGGGCUCAACCCGCGGACGGCACAUGAUACUGCGAGUCUUGAGUAAUGGAGGGGGAACCGGAAUUCUCGGUGUAGCAGUGAAAUGCGUAGAUAUCGAGAGGAACACUCGUGGCGAAGGCGGGUUCCUGGACAUUAACUGACGCUGAGGCACGAAGGCCAGGGGAGCGAAAGGGAUUAGAUACCCCUGUAGUC